rnacentral:tRNA from 2 species
GGAGGGGUGGCCGAGAGGCUGAAGGCGGCGGUUUGCUAAAUCGCUGAACGGGGUAACUCGUUCCGUGGGUUCGAAUCCCAUCCCCUCCG